GCCCGGCUAGCUCAGUCGGUAGAGCAUGAGACUCGUAAUCUCAGGGUCGUGGGUUCGAGACCCACGUUGGGCG
rnacentral:tRNA from 13 species